rnacentral:rRNA from 1 species
AUUGAACGCUGGCGGCAGGCUUAACACAUGCAAGUCGAGCGGUAGCACAAGAGAGCUUGCUCUCUGGGUGACGAGCGGCGGACGGGUGAGUAAUGUCUGGGAAACUGCCUGAUGGAGGGGGAUAACUACUGGAAACGGUAGCUAAUACCGCAUAACGUCGCAAGACCAAAGAGGGGGACCUUCGGGCCUCUUGCCAUCAGAUGUGCCCAGAUGGGAUUAGCUAGUAGGUGGGGUAAUGGCUCACCUAGGCGACGAUCCCUAGCUGGUCUGAGAGGAUGACCAGCCACACUGGAACUGAGACACGGUCCAGACUCCUACGGGAGGCAGCAGUGGGGAAUAUUGCACAAUGGGCGCAAGCCUGAUGCAGCCAUGCCGCGUGUGUGAAGAAGGCCUUCGGGUUGUAAAGCACUUUCAGCGAGGAGGAAGGUGGUGAACUUAAUACGUUCAUCAAUUGACGUUACUCGCAGAAGAAGCACCGGCUAACUCCGUGCCAGCAGCCGCGGUAAUACGGAGGGUGCAAGCGUUAAUCGGAAUUACUGGGGCGUAAAGCGCACGCAGGCGGUUUGUUAAGUCAGAUGUGAAAUCCCCGGGCUCAACCUGGGAACUGCAUUUGAAACUGGCAAGCUAGAGUCUCGUAGAGGGGGGUAGAAUUCCAGGUGUAGCGGUGAAAUGCGUAGAGAUCUGGAGGAAUACCGGUGGCGAAGGCGGCCCCCUGGACGAAGACUGACGCUCAGGUGCGAAAGCGUGGGGAGCAAACAGGAUUAGAUACCCUGGUAGUCCACGCUGUAAACGAUGUCGAUUUGGAGGUUGUGCCCUUGAGGCGUGGCUUCCGGAGCUAACGCGUUAAAUCGACCGCCUGGGGAGUACGGCCGCAAGGUUAAAACUCAAAUGAAUUGACGGGGGCCCGCACAAGCGGUGGAGCAUGUGGUUUAAUUCGAUGCAACGCGAAGAACCUUACCUACUCUUGACAUCCAGAGAACUUUCCAGAGAUGGAUUGGUGCCUUCGGGAACUCUGAGACAGGUGCUGCAUGGCUGUCGUCAGCUCGUGUUGUGAAAUGUUGGGUUAAGUCCCGCAACGAGCGCAACCCUUAUCCUUUGUUGCCAGCGGUUCGGCCGGGAACUCAAAGGAGACUGCCAGUGAUAAACUGGAGGAAGGUGGGGAUGACGUCAAGUCAUCGUGGCCCUUACGAGUAGGGCUACACACGUGCUACAAUGGCAUAUACAAAGAGAAGCGACCUCGCGAGAGCAAGCGGACCUCAUAAAGUAUGUCGUAGUCCGGAUUGGAGUCUGCAACUCGACUCCAUGAAGUCGGAAUCGCUAGUAAUCGUAGAUCAGAAUGCUACGGUGAAUACGUUCCCGGGCCU